rnacentral:rRNA from 1 species
CCUACGGGAGGCAGCAGUGAGGAAUAUUGGUCAAUGGGCGGGAGCCUGAACCAGCCAAGUAGCGUGAAGGAUGACUGCCCUACGGGUUGUAAACUUCUUUUAUACGGGAGUAAAAUGUUCCACGUGUGGGGUUUUGUAUGUACCAUAUGAAUAAGGAUCGGCUAACUCCGUGCCAGCAGCCGCGGUAAUACGGAGGAUCCGAGCGUUAUCCGGAUUUAUUGGGUUUAAAGGGUGCGUAGGUGGUUUUUUAAGUUAGUUGUGAAAGUGUGAGGCUCAACCGUAAAAUUGCAGUUGAUACUGGAAGUCUUGAGAACAGAUGAGGGAGGCGGAAUGUGUGGUGUAGCGGUGAAAUGCUUAGAUAUCACGAAGAACGCCGAUUGCGAAGGCAGCUUACUAGACUGCAUCUGACACUGAGGCUCGAAAGUGUGGGGAUCGAACAGGAUUAGAUACCCGUGUAGUC